CAGAGGUCCCAAGCGUUGUUCGGAUUCACUGGGCGUAAAGGGUGCGUAGGUGGUGAGGUAAGUCGGAUGUGAAAGCUCGGAGCUCAACUCCGAAAUGGCAUUGGAAACUACCUUGCUCGAGGGUUGAGGGGGGACUGGAAUACUUGGUGUAGCAGUGAAAUGCGUAGAUAUCAAGUGGAACACCAGUGGCGAAGGCGAGUCCCUGGACAACUCCUGACACUGAGGCACGAAAGCUAGGGGAGCAAACAGGAUUAGAUACCCUGGUAGUCCUAGCCGUAAACGGUGCACGUUUGCUGUAAGAGGAAUCGACCCCUCUUGUGGCGUAGCCAACGCGUUAAACGUGCCGCCUGGGAAGCACGGUCGCAAGAUUA
rnacentral:rRNA from 1 species